rnacentral:ncRNA from 1 species
AAAGGUCUGGUCCCAGCCUUGGAAUCAAUUUUUACUAAACUUAUACAUGCAAGCCUCCACACCCCUGUGAAAAUGCCCUUAAAUUUCCCGUAAGAAACGAGGAGCUGGUAUCAGGCCCUUCUAUUUGCCCAAGACACCUAGCUUCGCCACACCCACACGGGUAAUCAGCAGUAAUUAAUAUUGAACAUAAGCGCCAGCUUGAUUCAGUUAAAGUAAAAAGAGCCGGCAAACCUGGUGCCAGCCGCCGCGGUUAUACCACUGGACUCAAAUUGAUCUCUUCCGGCGUAAAGCGUGAUUAAAGAUUAUAAAAACUAGAGUAAAAUUUGAACUAAGCUGUAGCACGCUUGUUUUAAAGAACCCCCAAACGAAAGUCACUCUACCCUUUCCACUUGAAUUCACGACAGCUAGAACACAAACUGGGAUUAGAUACCCCACUAUGCCUAGCCGUAAACCUUAAAUUACUUCCCCAUCGCCAGGAAACUACGAGCAAAGCUUAAAACCCAAAGGACUUGACGGUACCCCACAUCCACCUAGAGGAGCCUGUCCUUAAUUGAUAACCCACACUUUACCUCACCAUUUUUAGCCUAACAACCUGUAUACCUCCGUCGUCAGCUUACCGCAUGAACGCUACUAAGUGAGCCCAAUGCUUAUUCACCAAAACGUCAGGUCAAGGUGCAGUUAAUAAAAUGGGAAGAGAUGGGCUACACUCUCUAAUAUAGAAAAUACAGAAAACAACAUGAAACACAGUUGGAAGGCGGAUUUAGUAGUAAGAGAAAAUCAGAACACUUCUCUUAACAGAGCACUGGGAUGCGCACACACCGCCCGUCACCCUCCUCAAAGCUAUAAAUUAAUAACUAAUCUACCAGAGCAUUUUAGAAGAGGCAAGUCGUAACAUGGUAAGCAUACCGGAAGGUGUUCUUGGAAA